CAGAACAACAAGGACAAGUCAGACCGGGAGGAGACAGAUGACGUCCAGUGUUUUUGAUGCAGAAAUAAUUUAUUAUACCAGAAGUAAGAGUUGUUUGUUAAAACAUUUUUGUAGCUUUAUAAUGAGUACUUUUUAUGUCAGAGCUCUACGUUAGAGGUCUUCGCAGGUCCUCUCAGUUCCCAGUUACGGAGACCAGACCCGGGACCAGAGUCAGGCCGGGUCCAGUCUAAAGACUGUAAGUGAAAUGAACUUGUUAAUAUGGAGUGCUGUCCAAACAUGUCUAAAUGGUCGGAUGUAGUCCACAAACGGACGUGUGCUCAUACGUGUUUGUCGGCGUACGGCGCAUAUGGUCAUAAAUUUUAGGUUGCACCUGCUCAGACAGGCAGAUGACACAAUUCAUGCAAAAGCCUAAAGUAUAAUUUGGGCUUAAAGGGUACCUGUUCUGAAAGACCAGGCCUAGUUAUCCUCAAGUCUAUUUGGAUUCGGUCUGACUGUCCUCGGGUCUCACUUUUUUAUAAAAUGAAUUUAUGCACUUCGGAUUUGGGUAAUUUUUUCACAGGUCCGUGAAUCGGGUCUCUGUCUUUUUACUUUGGUACCCUGUUGAAUGUUUGAUCACUAGCACCACUGUGGAGGAGAUGAACAAUGUUCUUACGAGUCCCUGUUUUGUUUCUGUCUCUGGCACGAUUUCAAGCAUGCAGCGGCACGAUCCACAUUCCUGACUAAGGAUUUUAUUCCACUGAUUUACAUUUGGGAGUGGUCACACACCAAGAGCAAUGCUGCAGCACAGGUGGGAACAAGAGGACUGCCAGCUAGCGACCGUGGAUGUAAACAAUGCAGGAAAUGCAUUGAACACGUCUGCCAGGCCUCAAGGAUACACACAAUGCAUUUUGGUACAGAUGACAGGAAAUGAGUGCAGAGGAUGGAUGACCUCGGCCGGGCCUGAACCAGGAAGAUUACGUGCUCAGCAUCCUAAAGCUGCCGGCAAGUGGUUGCCAACCUGGGGGGGUCAGGACUUGCUGCUUGUGUAGCGUCUUUCUGCUACACUAAAUCCAGACUGUAGGAAGAAGACAAACCUCCAUCACUGCAGCGGCACCUCACUUAUAAACCUGUCAAUCACACUUUGGUGUACGUAUAACAAAUCUGUCCAGCAGAUCCGGUUAUAUGUUGAAAAUAUUGUCAUCAAAUGUCAUUAAAUAAAGGUUAUAAUCUGUUAGUUAAAUCUAGUCCAGUUUUAAUGUCGUUGCUUUUAUCAGCUGCUCCAUGAAAUUAAUUUGACUUUUAUAAAUCUACAUUAAAUCCUCAUGUUUACAUUCUGAGCAGCAUGAGGGGGCCGACCAGGGGCCGACAGAGGGACAACAAGGGGCCGACAGAGGGACGACCAGGGGCCCACAGAGGGCCGACAGAGGGACGACCAGGGGCAGACAGAGGGACGACCAGGGGCCCACAGAGGGCCGACAGAGGGACGACCAGGGGCAGACAGAGGGACGACCAGGGGCCCACAGAGGGACGACAGAGGGACGAUCGGGGGCCAACAGAGGGCCGACCAGGGGCUGACAGAGGGCCGACCAGGAGCCGACAGAGGGCCGACCAGGGGCUGACAGAGGGCCGACAGAGGGACGACCUGGGGCCCACAGAGGGCCGACAGAAGGACGACCAGGAGCCAACAGAGGGCCGACCAGGGGCAGACAGAGGGCCGACAGAAGGCCCAAAGAGAGACAACGGAGGGCCGAUGGUGAGCCGCCACCCCGCUGAUCUCUGUUAGCUUAGUAUGUCAGAUGUUUCCUUGGUUACAGCAUCAUGUGUUUCACAUUUGUAUUAAGUUUGUUUUUGAUCUGACCAAACGUGGACCCAGCAGACGUCAAAUCUCUCGUGGACGAGCUGAAAGACGUGAGCUCAUUUCUUGAGAUUGCACUUAUCCAUUGAAAACUCCAUGGACGUUAGGCGCACGCUUUUUGUGUACUCAUUAAUGGAGAAAACAACUUUGUCAAGACCCAGGCUUUUGAACUUUCCAGUUUUCCGGAGAACUUAGCUGUGAUUGGCAACCUCAAGCAAAGCUUGCAGCCCUACCUGGAUUCUCUCAGCGAAUCUGAAGCUGGGCUUAGCUUGGAGUUGGCCAGCCACCUGCCAGUUCCAGCAUCUGGAACUGGCAGGUGGCCUCCGGCUUGCUGGCCACUAGCCUGAUUCUCGGCCUGCCAGCAACCAGCCUUCACCCGGCCUGCUGCCUGCCUGUCCUGAGCUGGCAAGCCUGCCGCAUGCCAGAUCCCACUUCAGACUAUCCCCGGGAGUCUCCUUUCUGGGGGACCCGGCUAGCCUUUAAGAUGGCCCCUCCAAGAAAGCGGGGCUCCCGAGCUGCAGCAAUGUCCAGUUCCUGUUCAGCAUCAGUCUCUUGGUUUCCUGGCAUCACUGGCCCCACCGGCUCAUCUGUCAGACUAUCUGUCGCCGGCCUCCAGCUCUGCACUCUAGUCGCCAGUCUCCUGCACAGAUCUUCAGUCGUUAGACCCCACAAGGAUCAAUGUGAGAUCCCCUGCUAUUUAUACUCUACACAUAAAUAAUAUUUCUUUUCCAGGUGAACACUGUAAUGUCUAUUUCUACGCAGAUGAUAACAUCCUGUAUGCCACCGGCUCUACAGCAAACCAACCAGGCCUUCUCCAGGUUAUAGUCUGCGUUUGAUGAACUCCAGACCUCUUUUACUAAUUUAAAGCUCGUUCUAAACUCCAAAAAGCCGAAAUGUUUGCAUGUUACGAGAGCGCAAAGCAUUGACGUUCCUACUCGGAUCCAUACUCCUAAUAGAAAUCAAUAGAUCAAGUACAACAUGAUUAGUACUUAGUAAUUUGGUUAGACAGCAGAUUGUCCUACAAAACUCAUGUUGAACAACUUGCUCAAACAGAAAACUAACAUACGAAUCUCUGUUUAACAUUAACGAUACCUCUCGUGUUGGCAGCAUGUUCGAAACUCUGCUGUGAAGAUUUUAAACAGAAGAAAGACCGGCUCCAAUAUAUAAUCGAAAUGUGGACCCCCAACCUAGACUCUUGAGUGACCUACCUGUGGAGAUCAAUGUUGGAGCUAUUUAUUGUUUUGUAAUAUUUAAUAACUAAAUAUCUUUAUUUUGUUGCUGUUUUGUUUGAAUAAUAAGGCAGAAUUAAUUUUAAUUUAUUUGAUUAGUGUCAUUAUUUUUGAGCACUUGUUAAUGUUGGCACCGGUAAGGGUUCAAGUUUUUUUACCAGGGCAAGAGAGACUGCAAACGCCAUUGUUCUUCGUUUGUUUGCUAAAUGGUCAAAUAAACCGCACGAAACGUUUGCCUGGAAGCUGGACUUAUUUUCCCAGUGUAAGAUUCACGUUUUCUUUUAUUUAGUUCGAGGACAAAUCGCCACUACAAUCAAAGCAACUACAACAGUUUCCUCUUUUAAAAACUCACUUCUACAAAUGUGCAAGUGAGUCUUUUGUCUUUUGACGAGCUUAACUUAUUUUACUGAUGAUGUUCUGUUUUAUUCUUUUAUGUUAUUUUUUGAUUAUACAAGUUGUUCUUUUACCUGAGUAAUUUUAACUUUUGUAAAGAUCUUUGUAACUGGCUUUGAAAAGUGUUUUAUAAAUAAAAGUUUAUUAUUAUUAAACCAGAGCUUGUUUCUACUUUCAAAAACAGAAAAACCAUCAUUAUACAAUCCACUCUACUAUCUGCACUGGAUUAUGGAUCCUUUCACCGCUGGAGACCUUUUACACUGCAGACAGCUCACACUCACCUCUGUGAAAAGGUCAAAGGUCAUCACUGACAUCUAGAGAGAAUCAGCAGACCUGUAUUUUCAUUCAGAAGCACUUUAUAUCCAAGUUACUGAGAUAUUUAACAUCCUCAGUUGAGUUCAAAGUGUUAAUAAUAUUGUCUUCUUUAUCCUAAUACGUUCCAAGUGAGGAAGCUGUUAUAGUUUAAUUCUGGGGAAAAGAGAGUCUAAUCAGCAGAGAGGGAAGAAGUACUCCGAUCUUUUACUGCAGUAAAAGUAGUAAUACCACACUGUAAAAACACUGUUACAAGUAAAACUCCUGCAUUCAGUAUUUUACUUAAAGUGCAAAAGUAUUAGCAUCAAAAUGUACUUAAAGUACCAAAAGUAAAAGUACUCAUUAUGAAGAAUAAUAUAUAUCAUAUUACUGAAUUAUAAUUCUUGAUGCAUUAACGUGUUCAUCACUGCGGCUCAUUUUAAUGAC